rnacentral:rRNA from 1 species
GUAGGGAAUAUUGGACAAUGGGGGCAACCCUGAUCCAGCGACGCCGCGUGAGUGAUGAAGGCCUUCGGGUCGUAAAGCUCUGUUGCAGGGGAAGAACACAAUGACGGUACCCUGCUAGAAAGGAUCGGCUAACUUCGUGCCAGCAGCCGCGGUAAGACGAGGGAUCCUAGCGUUGUUCGGAAUUAUUGGGCGUAAAGCGGGUGCAGGUGGCUUGGUAAGUCAGAUGUGAAAGCGUGGGGCUUAACCCCAGAAGUGCAUUUGAGACUGCUGAGCUUGAGUGCUGGAGAGGCUAUUAGAAUUCCUGGUGUAGUGGUGAAAUACGUAGAUAUCAGGAGGAAUACCGGAGGCGAAGGCGGAUAGCUGGCCAGACACUGACACUCAGACCCGAAAGCGUGGGGAUCAAACAGGAUUAGAUACCCGUGUAGUCC